rnacentral:rRNA from 1 species
AAGUCGUAACAAGGUUUCCGUAGGUGAACCUGCGGAAGGAUCAUUAAUGAGCUCAUGCCCUCACGGGUAGACCUCCCACCCUUGAUAAUAUACGCUUGUUGCUUUGGCGGGCCGCUUAGGCUACCGCUCGCGGUAAGUGCCCGCCAGAGGACUCAAAUUCUGAAUUAUAGUGUCGUCAGAGUAUUAUAUAAUAGUUAAAACUUUCAACAACGGAUCUCUUGGUUCUGGCAUCGAUGAAGAACGCAGCGAAAUGCGAUAAGUAAUGUGAAUUGCAGAAUUCAGUGAAUCAUCGAAUCUUUGAACGCACAUUGCGCCCCUUGGUAUUCCGGGGGGCAUGCCUGUUCGAGCGUCAUUAUAACCCCUCAAGCUUAGCUUGGUGUUGGAGCCUGCCGUUUGGCAGCUCUUAAAAUCAGUGGCGGUGCCCUCUGGCUCUAAGCGUAGUAAAUCUCUCGCUAUGGUGUCUAGUGGAUAGCUUGCCAAACAACCCCUAAUUUUCUAUGGUUGACCUCGGAUCAGGUAGGGAUACCCGCUGAACUUAAGCAUAUCAAUAAGCGGAGGAAAAGAAACCAACAGGGAUUGCCUCAGUAACGGCGAGUGAAGCGGCAACAGCUCAAAUUUGAAAUCUGGCUCUUUCAGGGUCCGAGUUGUAAUUUGUAGAAGAUGCUUUGGGUGUAGCUCCGGUCUAAGUUCCUUGGAACAGGACGUCAUAGAGGGUGAGAAUCCCGUAUGUGACUGGGUGCUUUCGCCUGUGUAAAGCUCUUUCGACGAGUCGAGCUGUUUGGGAAUGCAGCUCAAAAUGGGUGGUAAAUUUCAUCUAAAGCUAAAUAUUGGCCAGAGACCGAUAGCGCACAAGUAGAGUGAUCGAAAGAUGAAAAGCACUUUGGAAAGAGAGUUAAACAGUACGUGAAAUUGUUGAAAGGGAAGCGCUUGCAAUCAGACUUGCACACAGUUGAUCAUCCGGUGUUCUCACCGGUGCACUCUGCUGCGUUCAGGCCAGCAUCGGUUUUGGUGGUUGGAUAAAGGCCUUGGGAAUGUAGCUUCUUUCGGGGAGUGUUAUAGCCCUCGGUGCAAUGCAGCCUACUAGGACCGAGGACCGCGCUUCGGCUAGGAUGCUGGCGUAAUGGUUGUAAGCGACC